UUGUGGAGGAGGACGCCGAAGGUGGGGCUAAUGACUGGGGUGAAGUCGUAACAAGGUAGCCGUACCGGAAGGUGCGGCUGGAUCACCUCCUAACAGGGAGACAACAAAAUGUUUAAUAUUAUUAUUUUGUCACCUUAGGUCGAUCGGUAUCUCACGUUCUUAAUUUAUUAAGAAUUUCAUUUCCUAAGUUUUUCUAGGUCACACCCAUUAUUUUCCUGGGCCAUUAGCUCAGGUGGUUAGAGCGCACCCCUGAUAAGGGUGAGGUCCCUGGUUCAAGUCCAGGAUGGCCCAUAUCUCUAUGUUGGGGGUAUAGCUCAGUUGGUAGAGCGCCUGCUUUGCAAGCAGGAUGUCAGCGGUUCGAGUCCGCUUACCUCCACUGAUUACCACCUCUUCCAUAAUCUGUAGAAAGGAAAAUAUUUGAGUUGUGAUCAAAAUUCUGAACGAAUCUAGCUUCCUAAUGAAACUAUUAAGAUGCUGGACUCAUUGAAUUAAAUUUCAUUGUUUUCAGAGAACCUUGACAACUGCAUAGAUUAUUUUUAAAGACAAUAAGCAUCUUUAAUGAUGCAGAUUUAUUAUUUGUGCAAAUGCAUUAAUAACAAUUCUAUUAAGCUGAUGCUUCAAUUAUGAAGUUAUUGGUCAAGCUACAA
rnacentral:misc_RNA from 1 species